CUGGUUGAUCCUGCCGGAGGGGACCCCUAGCGGGCUCGCACUAAGCCAUGCAAGUCGGCUGGGGGCCAUCCCGCCCCUGGCGGCGCACGGCUCAGUAAUACACGGUCAACCUACCCUGAGGACCGGGAUAACCUCGGGAAACUGAGGCUAAUCCCGGAUAGGGGCCGGGUACUGGAAUGUCCCGGCCUCGAAAGUAGGCGGGGGGAGCCCCGCUGAGGCCUCAGGAUGGGACCGUGGCCUAUCAGGUAGUAGGUGGGGUAACGGCCCACCUAGCCUGAGACGGGUGCGGGCGGUGGGAGCCGGAGCCCGGAGAUGGGCACUGAGACAAGGGCCCAGGCCCUAAGGGGCGCAGCAGGCGGGAAACUUCCGCAAUGCGCGGAGGCGCGACGGAGUGAGCCCGCGUGCCGCCCGCUGAGGGCGACUGUCCCCGGGUGUAAACGGCCCGGGACAGGAAGGGGAGGGCAAGGCUGGUGCCAGCCGCCGCGGUAAAACCAGCUCCUCGAGGGGUCCCCACGCAUACUGGGCCUAAAGCGUCCGUAGCCGGCCCCGCAAGUCCCCGGUUAAAUCCGCCGGAAGACCGGCGGGCCGCCGGGGAUACUGCGGGGCUAGGGAGCGGGAGGGGCCGGGGGUAUUCCGGGGGGAGCGGUAAAAUGCGUAGAUCCCCGGAGGACCACCGGUGGCGAAGGCGCCCGGCUGGAACGCGUCCGACGGUGAGGGACGAAAGCUGGGGGAGCGAACCGGAUUAGAUACCCGGGUAGUCCCAGCCGUAAACGAUGCCGGCUAGGUGCCGGCCGAGGUCUCGGCCUCGGCCGGUGUCGAAGCGAAGGCGUUAAGCCGGCCGCCUGAGGAGUACGGCCGCAAGGCUGAAACUUGAAGGAAUUGACGGGGGGGCACCACAAGGGGUGAAUGCCUGCGGCUUAAUUGGACUCAACGCCGG
rnacentral:rRNA from 1 species